rnacentral:miRNA from 1 species
CUGGGCUCUCCCACUCCAGGCAGUGCUCUUAGGACGAGGCCACAGUGUUGAGAAAGGGGACACCAGACUUGGAGUCAGAAGACCUG